GCAUAUCAAUAAGCGGAGGAAAAGAAACCAACAGGGAUUGCCCCAGUAACGGCGAGUGAAGCGGCAACAGCUCAAAUUUGAAAUCCGGCCCCCAGGGCCCGAGUUGUAAUUUGCAGAGGAUGCUUUCGGCGCGGCGCCUUCCGAGUGCCCUGGAACGGGACGCCACAGAGGGUGAGAGCCCCGUCCGGUCGGACGCCAAGCCGGUGUAAAGCUCCUUCGACGAGUCGAGUAGUUUGGGAAUGCUGCUCUAAAUGGGAGGUAUAUGUCUUCUAAAGCUAAAUACCGGCCAGAGACCGAUAGCGCACAAGUAGAGUGAUCGAAAGAUGAAAAGCACUUUGAAAAGAGGGUUAAACAGUACGUGAAAUUGUUGAAAGGGAAGCGCUCGCCACCAGACUUGCGCCCGGCGGAUCAUCCAGCGUUCUCGCUGGUGCACUCCGCCGGGCGCAGGCCAGCAUCGGUUCGCCGCGGGGGACAAAGGCGGCGGGAACGUGGCUCCCCCGGGAGUGUUAUAGCCCGCCGCGCAAUGCCCUGGGGCGGACCGAGGUCCGCGCUCACGCAAGGAUGCUGGCGUAAUGGUGAUCAGCGACCCGUCUUGAAACACGGACCAAGGAGUCGUCCUCGUAUGCGAGUGUUCGGGUGGCAAACCCCUACGCGCAAUGAAAGUGAACGCAGGUGAGAGCUUCGGCGCAUCAUCGACCGAUCCUGAUGUUCUCGGAUGGAUUUGAGUAAGAGCAUACGGGGCCGGACCCGAAAGAAGGUGAACUAUGCCUGUGUAGGGUGAAGCCAGAGGAAACUCUGGUGGAGGCUCGCAGCGGUUCUGACGUGCAAAUCGAUCGUCAAACAUGGGCAUGGGGGCGAAAGACUAAUCGAACCUUCUAGUAGCUGGUUUCCGCCGA
rnacentral:rRNA from 1 species